rnacentral:rRNA from 1 species
UACGGGGGGGGGGCAAGCGUUGUUCGGAAUUACUGGGCGUAAAGGGCUCGUAGGCGGCCAACUAAGUCAUACGUGAAAUCCCUCGGCUUAACCGGGGAACUGCGUCUGAUACUGGAUGGCUUGAGUUCGGGAGAGGGAUGCGGAAUUCCAGGUGUAGCGGUGAAAUGCGUAGAUAUCUGGAGGAAUACCGGUGGCGAAGGCGGCAUCCUGGACCGACGAUUGACGCUGAUGGAGCGAAAAGCUAGGGGAGCAAACGGGAU